GGUUAAGUGACUAAGCGUACACGGUGGAUGCCUAGGCAGUCAGAGGCGAUGAAGGGCGUGCUAAUCUGCGAAAAGCGUCGGUAAGGUGAUAUGAACCGUUAUAACCGGCGAUACCCGAAUGGGGAAACCCAGUGUGUUUCGACACACUAUCAUGUCAUGAAUACAUAGUGGCAUGAGGCGAACCGGGGGAACUGAAACAUCUAAGUACCCCGAGGAAAAGAAAUCAACCGAGAUUCCCCCAGUAGCGGCGAGCGAACGGGGAGGAGCCCAGAACCUGAAUCGGCUUGUGUGUUAGUGGAAGCGUCUGGAAAGUCGCGCAGCAAAGGGUGAUAGCCCCGUACACUAAAAUGCACAGGUCGUGAGUUCGAUGAGUAGGGCGGGACACGUGACAUCCUGUCUGAAUAUGGGGGGACCAUCCUCCAAGGCUAAAUACUCCUGACUGACCGAUAGUGAACCAGUACCGUGAGGGAAAGGCGAAAAGAACCCCGGCGAGGGGAGUGAAAUAGAACCUGAAACCGUGUACGUACAAGCAGUGGGAGCACCUUCGUGGUGUGACUGCGUACCUUUUGUAUAAUGGGUCAGCGACUUAUAUUUUGUAGCAAGGUUAACCGUAUAGGGGAGCCGUAGGGAAACCGAGUCUUAACUGGGCGACUAGUUGCAAGGUAUAGACCCGAAACCCGGUGAUCUAGCCAUGGGCAGGUUGAAGGUUGGGUAACACUAACUGGAGGACCGAACCGACUAAUGUUGAAAAAUUAGCGGAUGACUUGUGGCUGGGGGUGAAAGGCCAAUCAAACCGGGAGAUAGCUGGUUCUCCCCGAAAGCUAUUUAGGUAGCGCCUCGUGAACUCAUCUUCGGGGGUAGAGCACUGUUUCGGCUAGGGGGCCAUCCCGGCUUACCAAACCGAUGCAAACUCCGAAUACCGAAGAAUGUUAUCACGGGAGACACACGGCGGGUGCUAACGUCCGUCGUGAAGAGGGAAACAACCCAGACCGCCAGCUAAGGUCCCAAAGUCAUGGUUAAGUGGGAAACGAUGUGGGAAGGCAUAGACAGCCAGGAUGUUGGCUUAGAAGCAGCCAUCAUUUAAAGAAAGCGUAAUAGCUCACUGGUCGAGUCGGCCUGCGCGGAAGAUGUAACGGGGCUAAACCAUGCACCGAAGCUGCGGCAGCGACGCUUAGGCGUUGUUGGGUAGGGGAGCGUUCUGUAAGCCGUUGAAGGUGGCCUGUGAGGGUUGCUGGAGGUAUCAGAAGUGCGAAUGCUGACAUAAGUAACGAUAAAGCGGGUGAAAAGCCCGCUCGCCGGAAGACCAAGGGUUCCUGUCCAACGUUAAUCGGGGCAGGGUGAGUCGACCCCUAAGGCGAGGCUGAAAAGCGUAGUCGAUGGGAAACAGGUUAAUAUUCCUGUACUUGGUGUUACUGCGAAGGGGGGACGGAGAAGGCUAGGCUGGCCGGGCGACGGUUGUCCCGGUUUAAGCGUGUAGGGGGUGUGACCUGGUAAAUCCGGUUGCAUAUCAACCCUGAGGCGUGAUGACGAUGCACUACGGUGCAGAAGUAGUUGAUGCCCUGCUUCCAGGAAAAUCCUCUAAGCUCCAGGUAACAUUAAAUCGUACCCCAAACCGACACAGGUGGUCAGGUAGAGAAUACCAAGGCGCUUGAGAGAACUCGGGUGAAGGAACUAGGCAAAAUGGUGCCGUAACUUCGGGAGAAGGCACGCUGGCAUGUAGGUGAAGUCCCUUGCGGAUGGAGCUGAAGCCAGUCGAAGAUACCAGCUGGCUGCAACUGUUUAAUAAAAACACAGCACUGUGCAAACACGAAAGUGGACGUAUACGGUGUGACGCCUGCCCGGUGCUGGAAGGUUAAUUGAUGGGGUCAGCCGCAAGGCGAAGCUCUUGAUCGAAGCCCCAGUAAACGGCGGCCGUAACUAUAACGGUCCUAAGGUAGCGAAAUUCCUUGUCGGGUAAGUUCCGACCUGCACGAAUGGCGUAAUGAUGGCCAGGCUGUCUCCACCCGAGACUCAGUGAAAUUGAACUCGCUGUGAAGAUGCAGUGUACCCGCGGCAAGACGGAAAGACCCCGUGAACCUUUACUAUAGCUUGACACUGAACAUUGAGCCUUGAUGUGUAGGAUAGGUGGGAGGCUUUGAAGCGUGGACGCCAGUCUGCGUGGAGCCAUCCUUGAAAUACCACCCUUUAAUGUUUGAUGUUCUAACUCGGCCCCGUGAUCCGGGGUGAGGACAGUGUCUGGUGGGUAGUUUGACUGGGGCGGUCUCCUCCCAAAGAGUAACGGAGGAGCACGAAGGUUAGCUAAUCACGGUCGGACAUCGUGAGGUUAGUGCAAAGGCAUAAGCUAGCUUGACUGCGAGAGUGACGGCUCGAGCAGGUACGAAAGUAGGUCUUAGUGAUCCGGUGGUUCUGAAUGGAAGGGCCAUCGCUCAACGGAUAAAAGGUACUCCGGGGAUAACAGGCUGAUACCGCCCAAGAGUUCAUAUCGACGGCGGUGUUUGGCACCUCGAUGUCGGCUCAUCACAUCCUGGGGCUGAAGUAGGUCCCAAGGGUAUGGCUGUUCGCCAUUUAAAGUGGUACGCGAGCUGGGUUUAGAACGUCGUGAGACAGUUCGGUCCCUAUCUGCCGUGGGCGUUGGAAGAUUGAGAGGGGUUGCUCCUAGUACGAGAGGACCGGAGUGAACGCACCACUGGUGUUCGGGUUGUCAUGCCAAUGGCAUUGCCCGGUAGCUAAGUGCGGAAAAGAUAAGCGCUGAAAGCAUCUAAGCGCGAAACUUGCCUCAAGAUGAGUCUUCCCUGGGCCUUCAAGGCCCCUGAAGGAACGUUUAAGACUAAGACGUUGAUAGGCUGGGUGUGUAAGUGCAGCGAUGCAUUGAGCUAACCAGUACUAAUGAUCCGUGAGGCUUAACCUU
rnacentral:rRNA from 1 species